rnacentral:tRNA from 1 species
GCCUGGGUGGCUCAGCUGGUUGAGCAUCCAACUUCUACUCAGGUCAUGAUCUCACGGUUCGUGGGUUCGAGCCCCGCAUCGGGCU